CCUACGUAUAAAACGCAGAUUAAAGAAACCCGUAUUUGAAAUUAUAAUGCCGAGAAAUACUUUUGGUUCCCAAUUCAGAUAUUUCUUCGCCCUACUUAUGUCAGGCCGUCUCCUUUGUGGAUCAUCCUCGACCGCAGGAAGAUUACCAUCUAUGUUAUGUUCGAUGGGAUUACCCAAGUUUACCGGUAGGCUGUACGACGAAUUCAUCAAAGCAACAAGGCCAUCGACUAAAUCCGAUACGUAUUGGAAAGAACGUGUUUGUUUUCCAUGCCCAUAAAUCUGAAUCGAAAAAAAAAAGGCUGAAGUAAAUUGUUUAAAUUUCUAUACUGUACGUUGAAAAAUAGGAAUAGAGAUGAGACCCACGGUUA